CGCCGACCUCGGGGGAGCCAUCAGGCUGAGAGGUCGCCUCCCGCGCGGGGAUGCGACGACCCCAAGAACCUGAUCCCGCUAGCACGGGCGUAGGGAAGAGGACAUGCACGGGAC
rnacentral:ncRNA from 2 species